rnacentral:rRNA from 1 species
AAUGAACGCUGGCGGCGUGCCUAAUACAUGCAAGUCGAGCGAACAGACGAGGAGCUUGCUCCUGUGACGUUAACGGCGGACAGGUGAGUAACACGUGGAUAACCGACCUAGAAGACUGGGAUAACUUCGGGAAACCGGAGCUAGUACCGGAUAAUAUAUUAAACCGCAUGGUUCAAUAGUGAAAGACGGUUUUGCUGUCACUUAUAGAUGGAUACGCGCCGCAUUAGCUAGUUGGUAAGGUAACGGCUUACGAAUGCAACGAUGCGUAGCCGACACGAUAGCGUGAUUCGACAGCCUGGCAGUGAGGAAGAGCCGACACUCCUACGGGGGGCCGCAGCAGGGACUCUUCCGGAAGGGGCGAGAGGGUGACGGUGGAACGUCGCGUGAGGGAUGAAGGUCUUAGGCUGGUAAAACUCUGUUAUUCGGGAAGAUGAAAUGCGUAAGCAACUAUGAACGUCUUGACGGUACCCGAUCAGAAAGCCACGGCUAACUUCGUG